rnacentral:misc_RNA from 1 species
UCUCCGUUGGUGAACCAGCGGAGGGAUCAUUACCGAGUUUACAACUCCCAAACCCUAUGUGAACCUUACCUUUUGUUGCUUCGGCGGGAUCGCCCUGGCGCUUCACGGCGCCAGAUCUCAGGCGCCCGCCGGAGGCCCAAAACUCUUGUUUAUUUAUGUUUCCUCUCCGAGUGGCACAAGCAAAAUAAAUCAAAACUUUCAACAACGGAUCUCUUGGUUCUG